GUCAAUCUAAAGAAGCUCGUGAUUUCUCUCGUGGAACACAUGUGAUGGCCAUCUCUUUGACCAUUAAUCUUGAUUAUUUGUCCUAAAUUUGACAAUCUCCUUCCUGCGUUGGAUUUAUCAAUAAGUGUUCUUUUGUCUUAAUGUUGCAAGCUGUCCUGUGAAAGAGGAUUGUUAGUUAGGCUGUGUUAUGGUUGGUUGGAGAUGAUUGGAGCUAGGAAUCUGAUUUAUGACGUCCUGUUGCGGCCCCUCUGGAAUUUCGGCUCCUCAUGUUUCGAUGUUCUGAUCGAAUCUAAAAUUGUCUGAUUUGUUCUGAUCCUACAUACAUUACACAUUUAUGAGCACGUAACCCAACCCCUGCCCCUAAACCUACCAUUUAUCAAUAAAACAGAAGAUAUAACAGACAGACACAACUACCGUCAUAAUUUAUUCAAAAAGUAUUAAUGUUCCAAGUCUUCCGAGGCAAAACGAUUGAUUUGUGAGAGGAAUAGACGCGAUCGCCAUCGCCGUCUCCGUCCGCCGUAAAGCUCUUCCUAUGUGCUUGGAAUACAACACGACUUGUUUGUAAUGCUUUUAUACUGCUUGUUUAUGGUCAUUUUGCAAUAAAUACUUGUGACUGCACUUAUAUUUGCCUGUAUGUGUUUUAUAGUGGGUAGGUUUAGGGUAGGGGUAGGUUAGGUGCUCCAGUGAAAGUAUAAAUUUAUAUACAAAUAUAACUGCAUCUGAGUCACUCUUUUUAUGUGGUUGUAAAGGAUGGGUUGUUUUGUGUGCUCAACGGAUGAACAGUGUGGGAAUGGAACAGGAGGGGAAGAUUUUCAAGGUUGAAAGUGAUAUAAACUAACACCAUUGUCUCUUGGGAAAGCACAGAGAGAGUCUAUCCCAUAGACUUUUGAAUACUGGUGUUUUUCCACUGGAAUGUAAAUUAAUUUAAUGUAGCAGAUUAGAUGUAACCAUUUUGAUGUAGCCAUUCUUAAAGUUCAGAAUUCUGAUGUCAUAUAUUGCGAAACCUUAGAGAUAUUGGUAAAUAGUAACUCAUCUUUUUCUGUAAUUAAAACGAAGUGCACCCAAUUGGGAGGGGGAGUGAGCCUGGCCAGUUUGCUUUCUCUCUCACUUGGAGGGUUGUUCUUAAACCGCACCUAAAUUUUAAAGUAUAAAAAAAAGGGGUUUCUUUCAAUGACAGUGGAAGCUCAGCCGUGGGAUAAGUGCACGUCGCCCGGCAUUCUCGGACAAGUGUUGGUCUUCUACUGUGACUGAAACGGGCUCCCCAGUCUUUUGAAAGUGAAGAUGAUGGCACGGCUCUGAGGCAACUGCAAUGAAGCAUCAAGACAGACAUGAGCAGGCCAGCCACCCUGAGACUGAUAACUCAUGAGAAGACUGGAUGGUGAGCAAAGAUGGUGGCCACGUUUUGGAGCAGCACCUGGGUUUUGCAGAUGGCUAUGUAUUCUUUGGCUGUUUGUCUUUUUCCCCCAUUAUGUUUCUGUUGCCUAAAGAUUCUUUGUGAGGAUGAACCCAGAGGACACAACAUAAUGCACUGCAAAACGUCCUAAGACAGGAGACAUGGUGAAGAUGCACUGUUCCAGCAUUGGAAGUCUGUAUUUUUAAGUGU